AACGAACGCUGGCGGCAUGCCUAACACAUGCAAGUCGAACGAGACCUUCGUGUGUAGUGGCGCACGGGUGCGUAACGCGUGGGAACCUUCCCUUAUGUUCCGAAUAACUCUCCGAAAGGGGUGCUAAUACCGGAUAAUGUCUUCGGAUCAAAGAUGUAUCGACUUUGGAUGGGCCCGCGUGGUAUUAGCUAGUUUGUAGGGUAACAGACUACGAAGGCGACGAUAAAGAGCUGGUCUGAGAGUAUGAGCAGCCACACUGCGACGUAUACACGGCCCAGCAUCCUAGUGACUGCACCCCUUCCUUCUCUUCCCAACUGCCGUCCGUCAUGAUCCCCAUAUGGCGUGUGAGUGAUGAAGGCCUUAGGGUUGUUACUCUCUUUUACCCGGGAUGAUCAUGACAGUACCGAGAGAAUAAGCUCCGGCUAACUUCCUG
rnacentral:rRNA from 1 species